GGAACUCCAACGCGUGCAAUUUUUCUUCGUUAAGUUUGUACCAAGUAAGGUUCUUAAGAAACAUUUUUGUCAAAGUACAGUUCUGAUGAUGGGUUUCAUGAAGAAUCGAGGGAAUUCCUAAAAUCUUAUAGGCAUACAUGUAAUAAUUUCUGGGAUUUUAUUUACAUAUCAAGCAUUUUUAUUAAAAAAUUGUCAUUUGACUAAGUGUAACAGCUGAUGUUGACCAGAAUGGAACUCGCCAACUCGCGCGCGAUUUGUUUUAUUAGUUAAGUUUGUAACAAGUAAGUUUUAAGUACUAAGGUUUUUAGGAACAUUCGUGUCAAGGUAAAGGUCUGAUGAUGGGUCCCAUGAAGAAUCGAGGGAAUUUCUUAAAUGUUAUAGGUAUAUAUAUAGUACUUAUUGGAUUUUCAUCAACAUAUUAUCAAGUUUUAUUCACAAAAGUGACAUUUGAUGAUGUGGAACUACUGAUGUUGACCAAAACGGAACUCCAACGCGCGCAAUUUUUCUUCGUUGUUAAGUUUGUAGCGAGUAAGGUUCUCAAGAAACAUUUUUGUCGAAGUACAGUUCUGAUGAUGUGUUUCAUGAGAAAGCGACGGAACUCCUCAUUCUCCUCAAUUUUUAUAGGUAUAUAGUAAUUUUGGAUUUUCAUCAAUAUCUUUAGCUUUUUUUAUUCACAUUAGUGGCAUUCAGGUUAUACCUAUUUAGGAAGCAGAGUUUCUAAUUUAAGGAAAUCUAUGUAAAUUGAUGUUUAUGAAAUAAAUUCAUUCAUUCAAUUCAUUCAUUUGAUGAAGUGGAACUAGUGAUGUUGACUAAAACGGAACUCUUCAACGCAUGAGAUUUUAUUCUUUUUUUGUUUAUUGUGAUAUAAGAGGCAAACUAGCAGACGAAUCAACUGAUGGUAAGCAAUUACCGCUGGCCAUGGACAUCUGUUACACCAUAGGGAUUGUAAGUGCGGUGCCGGCAUUUAAGAUAGGAAUACGCUCUUUCCUUAAAGUUUUAAAGAUCGUAUUGGGCCGGAAAUACCGCAUGCGACAGAUCAUUUCAUAGUUUAGCUGUAUGAGGCAGGAAGUUUCUAGAGAAAUGCACAGUUGAGGAUUGCCAACCAUCUAAGUGGUGAAGAUAUAAAUGAUGUAGCGUAAAGCGGUGACGGAAAGAGGCGGCAGAGAUUAAUCUGAACAAUUCCUCGGAACUUUUAAGUUUGUAGAAAGUAAGGUUCUUAAGAAAUAUCUGUACUAGACACCAGUGUCUAGUGUCUAGGUCUGAUGAUGGACACCUCAAACCUUAUAGAAAUACAUAUAGUUUUUUUUUUCAUCAAUAUCUCUAGGUGUUUUAUUUUAAAAAAGUUAUAUUUGAUCAAGUGGAACUGCUGAUGUUGUCCAGAACGGAACUUUUCAACGCACGCGUUUUGUAUUCUUUAUUAAGCUUGUAGCGAGUAACGUUCUUAAGGUGUAUUUAUAUCAAUAUUCAGUUCUGAUGAUGGGUUUCAUAAAUAAUCGAGGGAAUUCCUGACAUCUUAUAAUUUCUGGAUUUUUAUUUACAUAUCAAGCAUUUUUAUUAAAAUGUGACAUUUGACGAAAUGCAACAGCUGAUGCUGGCCAAAAUGGAACUCGCCAAUUCGCGCGCGAUAUGUUUUAUUUGUAGCAAGUAAAGUUCUUGAAGACAUUUGUGUCAUAAGGUCUAGUUCUGAGGAUGGGUUCCAUGAGAAAUCGAAGAAAUUCCUCAAAUCUUAUAGGCAUACAAUACAUACAGUAAUGUUUGGAUUCUCGUCAACAUAUCAAGCAUUUUUAUUUAAACAAGUUAGUGAUAUUGACCAGAACGGAACUCUUCAACGCGCGCGAUUCUUAUUAUUUGUUAAGUUUGUAGCAAGCUAGGUUCUUAGGAAACAUUUGUGUCAAGGUCCAGUUCUGAUGAUGGAUUCAAUGAGGAAUUGAGGAUUUUAAAUCGAUUUGAAUUCACAAUUAGGAGGAAUUGAGGAUUUUCGUCAACAUAUCAAGUUUUUUUUAUUUGAACAAGUGACAUUUGAUGAAGUGAAACUGCUGAUAUUACUGAAACUAUGCUGAUACUGCUGAAAUGGAACUCUUCAACGACAAGUAUUUUACCUUAGGCGUUUUUUUUUUAUUUUAUUUCGUUUAUAGCAUGUAAGGCUUUUAAGGAACAUUUGUGUCAAGGUCCAGUUCUGAUGAUAGGUUCUACGAGAAACUGAAGGAGCUUCUCAUAUUGUAUAGGAUAGGCAUACAUAUAGUCAUUUUAGGAUUUUCAUCAAUAUUACAAGCAUUUUUACUCAAUAAAGUGACAUUUGUUGAAGUAGAAUUGCUGAUGAAGAACGGAACACCUCAACGACUUCCAGAUUCUUUAUUUUUAUUACUCUUCUUUCUUUUUCAUUAUUCUUAGAACAGGUAUUUCUACGAAGUGAACCGAACUGCUACUAUUAAAAGUAGCUAGGUAGGUAUGUUAAAUAGGUUAAAACUGUAAGGAUUAUUAUGUAUAAGUAGUUUCUUUUAAUUAAACAUAGGUAAGUAAUUCUAUUUAAGUAUAAGUAUCUUUAAAAAAACAUCAAUCGACUCUUAUCUGUCACUAGUUCCAGUUUCAGAGUAUAAAAUCCGGGUACACAGCCACGGCUAGCCGGGUAGCCAGACAGUUCGAAUACGGACAAGUUAUUGUGAAUAAAAAAUCUUAUCGUCUUGCAAAAGUUAAUGUCAUAAAUGUAUAGGUUUCGAAUACAUGAAUAUAAAGUGAAAAUGCUGGUAAAAGUAUUAGUUUUUAUCAUUAACCAUUUUAUAUCCCAACAAAACUGUUACCCUUACAAAAAUAAAAUGCUUUCAUUACCUAAUGUAGGUUACGUUAGGUAAUAAAUAAAUAAAUAUGUAGGGACAAUCUUACACAGAUUGGCCCCAAACUAAUCAAAGCUUGUACUAUGGGUACUAGGCGACGUUAAACAUACCUACUUAUUUAGAUAAAUAUAUAUUUACGUAUAUACAUAGAAAACACGCAAGCCUUAGGAACAAAUAUCUGUAUUCAUCACACAAAGAAAUGCCCUUACGCGAUUCAAACUCGGGACCAUCGGCUUCAUAGGCAGGGUCACUACCCACUAGGCCAAACCGGUCGGCAAAAGGUAAAGAUAAUUAGGUAAAGACAAUGAAUAAUUAAACGUAUUAUAAAUUGACACCAAUAUCCAUCAAAUAGUAUAACUAGGUAUGCUAAGAGCGGGCUUCAGGCCAUUACGUCGCACCUUUAGAAUUAAAUUAAUUUGACUCAAAAAGUACGACUACUUUAUAUAUGUAGUUUGGUAGAACAGUAAGAACUCACUAUAUGUGUCUCUUUUUCAUGCGGUGAAAUCCCCCCACCCGGAAAGGAUAGCGACGCCCAUUUUAUCGACUCUCGAGUCGACUCCAAUCUGAUACUAAUAGUAAGUAAGUACUUACUUAGUAAGCAAAUUGUAGUAGUUUUCCCUUCUUAGUAAAAGGAAGUAUUGUAAAGAUACUACUUUUUAACCGACUUCAAAAACUUUUUUUUUGUAUAUAUGUUAAGUAAGAUCUUCGUCAUUUCUGAACCAAUGUUGAAAAUUAGUUAUCGUUUGAAAGUGGGUGUAUAGUUCCAAGAUGGUCCUAUUUUUGACAAAACCACGAGGAAUUAAGGGAACUCCCCAAAUCUUAUAGUCGUUUUUAGGGUUCCGUAGCCAAAUGGCAAAAAACGGAACCCUUAUAGAUUCGUCAUGUCCGUCUGUCUGUCCGAUUCUGUCACAGCCACUUUUUUCCGAAACUAUAAGAAACUAUACUGUUCAAACUUAGUAAGUGGAUGUAUUCUAUGAACCGCAUUAAGAUGUUCACACAAAAAUAGAAAAAAAACAAUAAAUUUUGGGGGUUCCCCAUACUUAGAACUGAAACUCAAAAAAUCUUUUUUCGUCAAACCGAUACGUGUGGGGUAUCUAUGGAUAGGUCUUUAAAAAUGAUAUUGAGGUUUCUAAUAUCAUUUUUUUCUAAAGUGAAUAGUUUGCGCGAGAGACACUUCCAAAGUGGUAACAAGUGUGUCCCCCCCCCCGUAACUUCUAAAAUAACAGAAUGAAAAAACUAAAAAAAAUAUAUGAUAUACAUUGUCAUACAAAUUUCCACCGAAAAUUGGUUUGAACGAGAUCUAGUAAGUAGUUUUUUUUUUAAUACGUCAUAAAAUUUAAAAAAAAAAAUUUUUCAUCAAACCCAUACGUGUGGGGUAUCUAUGGAUAGGUCUUCAAAAAUGAUAUUUAGGUUUCUAAUAUCAUUUUUUUCUAAACUGAAUAGUUUGCGCGAGAGACACUUCCAAAGUGAAAAAAUGUGUGUCCCCCCCCCCGUAACUUCUAAAAUAACAGAAUGAAAAAUCUAAAAAAAAUAUAUGAUAUACAUUACCAUGCAAACUUCCAACGAAAAUUAGUUUGAACGAGAUCUAGUGAGUAGUUUUUUUUUUAAAACGUCAUAUAAUUUAAAAAAAAAAUUUUUCAUCAAACCCAUACGUGUGGGGUAUCUAUGGAUAGGUCUUCAAAAAUGAUAUUUAGGUUUCUAAUAUCAUUUUUUUCUAAACUGAAUAGUUUGCGCGAGAGACACUUCCAAAAUGAAAAAAAAUUUUUUUUUUAAUUUUUAUGACGUAUUAAAAAAAAACUACUUACUAGAUCUCGUUCGAACCAAUUUUCGGUGGAAGUUUGCAUGGCAAUGUAUAUCAUAUAUUUUUUUUAGAUUUUUCAUUCUGUUAUUUUAGAAGUUACGGG